CAAGAGCGUAUGUAAAAGUUGUUGCAGUUAAAAAGCUCGUAGUUGAACCUUGGGUUUGGUUGGCCGGUCCGCUUUUUUGCGAGUACUGGAUUCAACCGAGCCUUUCCUUCUGGCUAACCAGUCGUUUCGGCGGCUGGCGAACCAGGAUUUUUACUUUGAGAAAAUUAGAGUGUUCAAAGCAGGCAUUAGCUUGAAUAUAUUAGCAUGGAAUAAUAGAAUAGGACGUUAUGGUUCUAUUUUGUUGGUUUCUAGGACCAUCGUAAUGAUUAAUAGGGACGGUCGGGGGCAUCAGUAGUCAGUUGUCAGAGGUGAAAUUCUUGGAUUUACUGAAGACUAACUACUGCGAAAGCAUUUGCCAAGGACGUUUUCAUUAA
rnacentral:rRNA from 1 species